UACGUAGGGUCCAAGCGUUAAUCGGAAUUACUGGGCGUAAAGCGCGUGUAGGCGGUUGUUCAAGUCAGGUGUGAAAGCCUUGAGCUCAACUCAAGAAAUGCACUUGAUACUGGAUGACUAGAGGACCGGAGAGGAUAGUGGAAUUCCCAGUGUAGUGGUGAAAUACGUAGAGAUUGGGAAGAACACCAGUGGCGAAGGCGGCUAUCUGGACGGUUUCUGACGCUAAGACGCGAAAGCGUGGGGAGCAAACAGG
rnacentral:rRNA from 1 species